GAAUUUUGCUCCUCUGAAAUGUAUCACUUUCUUUUUUAGAGACACAAAACAUUUCUUAAAAUGAAAUAGAUAUUUAAUAGGGUGUCCAAACUAAAGUCCUGUAAAGCACUUCUAUUGUUUUGGUCCACAUAGAUCAUCACAAAGUCAGAUCAGUGAAAAGAAAAACCACAGGACUAACAGCAGGACUUGACAUUUUGGGGCACGAUUCCCCACCAAGCAUAAGAAGCUGUUUCUUCUAUCACUUUGGGUUGAGAAUCAGGAUCUGGUGAUAAAACAGCUCUGAGGGGGUCCACCUCAAACGAGGCAACCUGAUGGAGGGAUGGCGAAGAAGACGUGAGAAGAAAUGUGAAAAUUAUAACAACGGGAAAAGGUUGAGAAGUGAAGGAACACAGCAGGUUUUUGGCUAAAAAAGGACGACCUCGAGGCCUUUCGAUGUGCAGGAAUAUCUCAGUGCUGGUCGCUGAUUAUUAAACACGCUACUGACCUGUCAGGACUCGUUUCUUUUCCGAGAACACAAGAACAGUGCAGUGUAUGAUUUGUGUGUUUUCAUGCUGAGUUGUGUAGCGAGAUAAAGGUCACAUAUGACUUAAUGCCCUUUAAAUCUGGGAUAAACUAAAGGUCCCUCAUUAGUCUCAUUACUGAGUGUUGCUCAGGGAUGCAGUAACUUAAGUUUUAAGUCAUACAUGACUUAAGUCAUACAUGUUGUAAGUCAUACAUGGUGACUUACAACAUAGUUUGACAAAGUAUAAAAACAUUUAUGUGGAAAAUGAACCUUUAAAUGAGUAUAUCUACAGAUAUAGACUAUGUAACCCGCAAUUAGUCAAUUAGUCAAGACUUUUAUUUUUGUCGGCCCACUUCCUGUUUUGCCCCAAACUCUGCAACUUAUUUAAAGCCCCGCCUCCAGCGCACAGUUUGAACUUCAUCAGCUGUUCCACUGUGAUUGUGGCUGGCUGUUUGGCGUCUUCCUAACAAUUCACCCAAAUAUUUGCAUCCACUGAUUUGAUCCUUCGGUUUGUGCUUCAGUUUCUUGACUUUGCAUUUUGACUUUCAUGGAGAACAAAACAGAAAACCAAAAAGUGAGAACAGUCACAUCCAGGGAGGACGAGUGUCAGACACCAGAGAGGGACGAGCCGCCGCAUUCGUCUUCAUCUCCGAUCAGCCACGGCACCGGGGGGUCAAAGGUGACAGAUGAUGGAUGAAUAAUAAACAAGCAGCACAGAGCUGUGCUACUGCAGCCGCCCAGGUGUGAAUUCACUUCAGAAAUCAGCGGCUACGCGUUUGUUGUGUGUGUUUAUGGAGGAUUACUGGGAGUUCUGGUCCAAUCAAAGGAAUAUUGGUUUACAAGGAAUAUUCAAGUCCCACAAGACAUGCAGAUCUUUACAGACAUAAUUUACCAUCAACUUUUCUAAUUUACUCUUCUGACAUCAUGAAAGGCUUUGGAAGUCGGUCAUUUUGAAAUGUAAACCAUAUAUAUGGAUGAAGACGUUUCACCUCUGAUAACGCCUCUCACUGCAAAAGCAUAAAGUUUCACCAAAGCUAAUAGCUUCUACAAACGUCUUGGUACACUCAAAAGGAGACAAAACUAACUUAUAAGUACAUUUUCAGCAAGAAAUAUGAGUCGAUACUUAAUUUAAGCAUUAAAAUAUUUGUAAUGAAUUAAUUGAAAUUAAUGUGUUUUAAGUUUUUCAGUUAAGUUCUAUUUUACUGUCGUUUAUGAUAUUUUUGUGUUUUUAAGACAAUAAAUUUGGUGAUGUCUGAAUAAAUGAAUGGUAAUUUGUUGCAGACUCUGUUGUUUUUUCCUCAGUAUCUGUGCCAAAUGAAUGGUAGGUAUUUUUUAUUUUGGCAUCAACUUGAAUCAGCGUGUUUCCCAGAUUCAAGUUCGUAUGAAAGUAUUGAGAAGAGUCAAAUUUCUCGUUCCUGUAUUUUG